GCUGUUAAAUGUCACUGGACAAAUGAUAACC
rnacentral:piRNA from 1 species